rnacentral:rRNA from 1 species
UAGGGAAUCUUCGGCAAUGGACGAAAGUCUGACCGAGCAACGCCGCGUGAGUGAAGAAGGUUUUCGGAUCGUAAAACUCUGUUGUUAGAGAAGAACAAGGACGUUAGUAACUGAACGUCCCCUGACGGUAUCUAACCAGAAAGCCACGGCUAACUACGUGCCAGCAGCCGCGGUAAUACGUAGGUGGCAAGCGUUGUCCGGAUUUAUUGGGCGUAAAGCGAGCGCAGGCGGUUUCUUAAGUCUGAUGUGAAAGCCCCCGGCUCAACCGGGGAGGGUCAUUGGAAACUGGGAGACUUGAGUGCAGAAGAGGAGAGUGUAAUUCCAUGUGUAGCGGUGAAAUGCGUAGAUAUAUGGAGGAACACCAGUGGCGAAGGCGGCUCUCUGGUCUGUAACUGACGCUGAGGAUCGAAAGCGUGGGGAGCAAACAGG